UACCUGCAGCCCAAGUGGUGGUCGAUUUUAUUGAGUCUAAAACGUUCGUAGCCGGUUUGGUAAAUCUUUGGGUAAAUCGGGAGGCUCAACUUUCCGACUUCCGAAGAGACUGUCAAACUUGGGACCGGGAGAGGCUAGAGGUACUUCUGGGGUAGGGGUAAAAUCCUGUAAUCCUAGAAGGACCACCGGUGGCGAAGGCGUCUAGCUAGAACGGAUCCGACGGUGAGGGACGAAGCCCUGGGUCGCAAACGGGAUUAGAUACCCCGGUAGUCCAGGGUGUAAACGCUGCCGACUUGGUGUUGGAGGCCCUUCGGGGGCAUUCAGUGCCGGAGAGAAGUUGUUAAGUCGGCUACUUGGGGAGUACGUCCGCAAGGAUGAAACUUAA
rnacentral:rRNA from 1 species